AGAGUUUGAUUAUGGCUCAGGACGAACGCUGGCGGCAUGCCUAACACAUGCAAGUCGAACGGAGAUUUCAGGAAGUUACUUCUGAAUUCUUAGUGGCGGACGGGUGAGUAACACGUGGGUAAUCUGCCUAUCACAUUGGGAUAACAGGGUGAAAACGCUGCUAAUACCGAAUAAGCCGACGGAGGUGGGAGCCUCUGCCGGAAAAGGAGCAAUCCGGUGAUAGAUGAGCCCGCGGCUGAUUAGCUAGUUGGUGGGGUAACGGCCCACCAAGGCGACGAUCAGUAGCCGGCCUGAGAGGGUGAACGGCCACACUGGAACUGAGAAACGGUCCAGACUCCUACGGGAGGCAGCAGUGGGGAAUCUUCCGCAAUGGGCGAAAGCCUGACGGGAAGCAAUGCCGCGUGAGUGACGAAGGCCUUCGGGUUGUAAAGCUCUGUCUUCAGGGACGAAACAAAUGACGGUACCUGAGGAGGAAGCCACGGCUAACUACGUGCCAGCCGCGGC
rnacentral:rRNA from 1 species